rnacentral:rRNA from 1 species
UACGGAGGAUCCAAGCGUUAUCCGGAUUUAUUGGGUUUAAAGGGUGCGUAGGCGGCCUAUUAAGUCAGGGGUGAAAGACGGUAGCUUAACUAUCGCAGUGCCUUUGAUACUGAUGGGCUUGAAUGAACUAGAGGUAGGCGGAAUGUGACAAGUAGCGGUGAAAUGCAUAGAUAUGUCACAGAACACCAAUUGCGAAGGCAGCUUACUAUGGUUUUAUUGACGCUGAGGCACGAAAGCGUGGGGGAUCAAACAGG